GGAAGGAUGACCGAGUGGACGAAGGUGCGUGCUUGGAGAGCACGUGAGCAGCAAUGCUCCGUGGGUUCGAAUCCCACUCCUUCCGCCA
rnacentral:tRNA from 1 species